UAAGGAAUAUUGGUCAAUGGACGAAAGUCUGAACCAGCCAUGCCGCGUGAAGGAUGAAGGUCCUCUGGAUUGUAAACUUCUUUUAUAUGGGACGAAAAAAGGUCAUUCUUGAUCACUUGACGGUACCAUUUGAAUAAGCACCGGCUAACUCCGUGCCAGCAGCCGCGGUAAUACGGAGGGUGCAAGCGUUAUCCGGAUUCACUGGGUUUAAAGGGUGCGUAGGCGGGUAGGUAAGUCAGUGGUGAAAUCUCCGAGCUUAACUCGGAAACUGCCAUUGAUACUAUCUAUCUUGAAUGUUCUGGAGGUGAGCGGAAUAUGUCAUGUAGCGGUGAAAUGCUUAGAUAUGACAUAGAACACCAAUUGCGUAGGCAGCUCACUACGGAAAUAUUGACGCUGAGGCACGAAAGCGUGAGGAUCAAACAGG
rnacentral:rRNA from 1 species